ACCUAGUUCUUUCGGAGCGUUAACAGGACGGUUUGAAUCUCAAAAAGGUUGUUGGUCGAGAAGCAUUGGACGGUUGAUCGUGAAGGAGAGUGAGUCGAGAGUUCAGAAUUAAUCGAGGAGUCGAAGAGUAGAGUGGUUAGCGUUUGUCGAGUUGCGAGAGGUGUUAGCGUUGUUGAGAGUAGAGUUGUUAGCGUUGUGGAGUUGCGUGAGUUACUAGCGUAGCUGAGAGAUUGAUCGGGAACGUCGGGAAUGCAGUACGGCUCAGCCACCACCGCCAAGGCGACCCUGCUCUUCCGAAUGGUUUUUGCCUCUUACUGUAACCAGUCUGCUGCCCCAUUGGGUGUGUUUGGCGUUGUAGUCUCCUCCAGCUAUGAAUCUAUUGCCCAGGGUGUCCAGGAAGUUAUCAAAGUCUUCUUUUGCGAUGGAGUGUCUGGGAGGGCAGUAUACAGCUGAAGUGGUGAUUGUACCAUGACAGUCUUCUAUUGCUACGUCUGUUGCUUGGAGGUAGUCUUUCUGAAAUGGUGGAAGUUCGUAGUGCUAAAUGUUUGAUUUGAUUAUGAUUCCGGUGCCGCCGUGGGCCUUUCCGCUGAGGUGUUGGGUGUGGUAAAAGUUGUAGCCGUGUAUUUUGAGAUAGUUUUUGUCGGUGAAGUGGGUUUCGGAUAUGAG
rnacentral:misc_RNA from 1 species